rnacentral:rRNA from 1 species
UACGUAGGGAGCAAGCGUUGUUCGGAUUUACUGGGCUUAAAGGGCGCGUAGGCGGGCUGUCAAGUCUGGGGUGAAAUGCCGCGGCUCAACCGUGGAACUGCCUUAGAUACUGACGGCCUCGAGGAAGGUAGGGGCAUGCGGAACUGUAGGUGGAGCGGUGAAAUGCGUUGAUAUCUACAGGAACUCCGGUGGCGAAAGCGGCGUGCUGGACCUUUUCUGACGCUGAGGCGCGAAAGCUAGGGGAGCAAACGGG